AGAACGCCGCCAUCUUUAAGAUCGCGCGAGAACUGCGGCCAGGACUACAUGGGAGUGAAUCUGAAUCUGAAAAGCACUGCAGGCCAGCGAGCUUCAAAGUUCAAACCCAUGCAACAGAGAUAUGAAAAUACUAGAGGGACACAUCUCAGGGUCGCUUUCGGGUUUUGUAACGGAAGUCUUUUGUGCCUAUUUGUUUUAAUGAGAGGUUAACACUCAUUGGAGUUUUACAGAACUCAAUGGAGGAAUCCCUGCGCAACUCUGGCAGUAGCGUCUCCACUCACAAACAAAAGAUUCGCAGCAAAGGCAAAAGUUCAUACUCUUUUUUUCACUCAGGUCUUGUUUCGUGUGGGAAAGGUGGUUUCUAGCUCCCACUGAGAAUAAUGAGCAAUGAAGGCUUUAUUAGACGUUCAGACUGUGUGGCACUCUAGCUUUUUCCUACAUUUGUGGCUCCAAUGGUUUUGAUCUCUCAUGGUUGAAAAGGAAGGGGCGGGAGAAUUCGAACAACAGUUACAUUCUCGGAAGGCACGCAGCACAGCUGUCGUUUGCAGCGCCACCUAUUGGGUAAAAAUGAGUGAAGGAGGCAAGCAAAGCGAGGCAGCAGGUGUGGCACCAUGAUUAUGAUUCCCUAGCCGCAAGAGAAAGCUAUGAUGGUACCUCUUCAAAGACAUGUUUUUCUUUAUGACGUCGUAUGUCCCAUGGAUGAGUCCUGGCAAGGAAAACAAGUUUAGGGAUAAGCCCUCACCAAAUCUAUGCUCAGAAUAGGUGGCAUAUAUACUUCUUUGGUGUGUUCUCUGUCUGUCACACAACCCAUAUGUGACCACCAUAAGAACCUCAGUUACAGGCAGCUGCAGUAAUGAAGAAUCAGACAGCACUACCUUGUAGGAAAAGGUAAAGCAGAGGAAAAAUUCCAAAGACCUGAUCGAGUGGUGGUUGAUGAAAGACUGAGGCUUCCAUAGACAUGGAAGAUUUGAAGAAGGGAAAAAUCAUAAAUAUGGCUAAAUCCUGGAUCUUGGAUAACACAAAAAGAAAACAGACAGCCUUGAAAGAAGAUUGCUUGGUAAUUUAUUUACAACAGAAUGUAAGAAAAGGCAAAUUUAAAAACAAUAAUAAAUAAAUGAAAAAGCAAGAA